rnacentral:sRNA from 1 species
AUGGCUGUCGUCAGCUCGUGUCGUGAGAUGUUGGGUUAAGUCCCGCAACGAGCGCAACCCUUAUUCUAUGUUGCCAGCGCGUAAUGGCGGGGACUCGUAGGAGACCGCCAGGGAUAACCUGGAGGAAGGUGGGGAUGACGUCAAGUCCUCAUGGCCUUUAUGUCUAGGGCUACACACGUGCUACAAUGGACGGUACAAAGCGUCGCCAACCCGCGAGGGGGAGCUAAUCGCAAAAAACCGUUCUCAGUUCGGAUUGCAGGCUGCAACUCGCCUGCAUGAAGCUGGAAUCGCUAGUAAUGCUAUAUCAGAACGAUAGCGUGAAUACGUUCCCGGGCCUUGUACACACCGCCCGUCACAUCACGAAAGUGGAUUGUACUAGAAGUCUGCAGGCUAACCCGCAAGGGGAGCAGCGGCCCAAGGUAUGAUUCAUGAUUGGGGUGAAGUCGUAACGAGGUAGCCGUAGGAGAACCUGCGGCUGGAUCACCUCCUUUCUAAAGAGACCGUGGGUGGAGUUGCUCACAUGUACAGAGCAGCAGCCGUUCCACUCCAUAGCCUUGGAUGGAUUAGCAAUAGUCUAUUCAAGAGCAUUCGCACCAGACUCUUUAUCCGGAGAAUCGGAAGUGUUUUGAGCCGUCUUGGGCAAGCUGGUCUUGCCUGGCGCUGCAUCCAAUCGGCCUCGGAUUUACUUUCAGGGGCUGUAGCUCAGCUGGGAGAGCGCCUGAUUUGCACUCAGGAGGUCGCCGGUUCGAUCCCGACCAGCUCCACCAGAUAAAAAGAGUUAUUGCCGCCAGCGGGCCUGUAGCUCAGUUGGUUAGAGCGCACCGCUGAUAACGGUGAGGUCGGUAGUUCGAAUCUACCCAGGCCCACCAUCAGUUUCAGUAAAAGGGAAAGCGCAAGUGGAUCUUCAAGAUGGAAUUGAAGGCUCACUUCUGUUUUCCUUGCAGUAGUUGGAAGACGGGACACUGUUGUUCUUUGACAAUCGAAUAUUUUGACGGGCAUUACUACUACAAGUAAUGCGCUUCGGCUUUCCCUUAUAGUUGGGGGAGAGUGCGAAGCAAGCGCGUAAUAAUUAGAACAAUUCUACUUGGUUAUUUGUGUUUUAAGUAGAUUUUGUGGUCAAGCUACUAAGGGCGUGUGUGUGGAUGCCUUGGCGCAAACAGGCGAAGAAGGACGUGGUCAGCUGCGAUAAGCUUCGGGGAGACGCUAACAGUCUACGAUCCGGAGAUGUCCGAAUGGGGAAACCCGG